rnacentral:misc_RNA from 1 species
GAAAUGCGAUAAGUAAUGUGAAUUGCAGAAUUCAGUGAAUCAUCGAAUCUUUGAACGCACCUUGCGCUCCUUGGUAUUCCUUGGAGCAUGCCCGUUUGAGUAUCAUGAAAUCUUCAAAGUAAAUCUUUUGUUAACUCAAUUGGUUUCUACUUUGGUAUUGGAGGUCUUUGCAGCUUCACACCUGCUCCUCUUUGUUCAUUAGCUGGAUCUCAGUGUUAUGCUUGGUUCCACUCGGCGUGAUAAGUUAUCUAUCGCUGAGGACACUGUAAAAGGUGGCCAAGGUAAAUGCAGAUGAACCGCUUCUAAUAGUCCAUUGACUUGGACAAUACUUUUAUGAUCUGAUCUCCAAUCAGGUAGGACUACCCGCUGAACUUAAGC